rnacentral:rRNA from 1 species
UGAGGAAUAUUGCGCAACGGGGGAAACCCUGACGCAGCGACGCCGCGUGAGUGAUGAAGGCCUUCGGGUUGUAAAGCUCUGUCAGAGGGAAAGAAAGGGGAUGCGGAAUAAUACCCGCAGCCAUUGACGGUACCCUCGGAGGAAGCACCGGCUAACUCCGUGCCAGCAGCCGCGGUAAUACGGAGGGUGCAAGUGUUAUUCGGAAUCACUGGGCGUAAAGAGCACGUAGGCGGAUGGGUAAGUCAGAUGCGAAAUCCCGGGGCUCAACUUCGGAACUGCAGUUGAUACUGCCCGUCUUGAGUGUGGUAGAGGGGGAUGGAAUUCCCGGUGUAGAGGUGAAAUUCGUAGAUAUCGGGAGGAACACCAGAGGCGAAGGCGAUCCCCUGGGCCAUUACUGACGCUGAGGUGCGAAAGCGUGGGGAGCAAACAG